rnacentral:rRNA from 1 species
UACGAACUGUGCGAACGUUAUUCGGAAUCACUGGGCUUAAAGGGUGCGUAGGCGGUUAUCUAAGUCACGUGUGAAAUCUUCCGGCUCAACCGGAAAACUGCGCGUGAUACUGGAUGACUUGAGUGAGGUAGGGGUGUGUGGAACUUCCGGUGGAGCGGUGAAAUGUGUAGAGAUCGGAAGGAACGCCAGCAGCGAAAGCGGCACACUGGGCCUUUUCUGACGCUGAGGCACGAAAGCUAGGGGAGUGAACGGG